GACGAACGCUGGCGGCGUGCUUAACACAUGCAAGUGGUGCGACGAACCGGAGCUUGCUCCGGGGCAGAGCCGCGAACGGGUGAGUAACACGUGGGUUACCUGCCCUGAUGACCGGGACAACCCGUCGAAAGACGGGCUAAUACCGGAUGUGCCCGCAAGGGGAAAGGAGGCGUAAGCUUCCGCAUCGGGAUGGGCCCGCGGAGCAUUAGCUUGUUGGUGAGGUAAAAGCUCACCAAGGCUUCGAUGCUUAGCUGGUCUGAGAGGACGAUCAGCCACACUGGGACUGAGACACGGCCCAGACUCCUACGGGAGGCAGCAGUGGGGAAUCUUGCGCAAUGCACGAAAGUGUGACGCAGCAACGCCGCGUGCGGGAAGACGGCCUUCGGGUUGUAAACCGCUUUCAGUUGGGACGAAGGUUCUGCGGUUAAUACCCGUAUGGACUGACGGUACCUUCAGAAGAAGCCCCGGCUAACUACGUGCCAGCCGCCGCCGUAACAC
rnacentral:rRNA from 1 species